UACGAAGGGGGCUAGCGUUGUUCGGAAUUACUGGGCGUAAAGGGCUCGUAGGCGGUUUGUCGCGUCGGGAGUGAAAACCAGGUGCUUAACACCUGGCUUGCUUUCGAUACGGGCAGACUAGAGGUAUUCAGGGGAGAACGGAAUUCCUGGUGUAGCGGUGAAAUGCGCAGAUAUCAGGAGGAACACCGGUGGCGAAGGCGGUUCUCUGGGAAUGACCUGACGCUGAGGAGCGAAAGUGUGGGGAGCGAACAGG
rnacentral:rRNA from 1 species